UUGCUUUUGAGCCUGUUUGAUUGGCGGGCUCGGUCUGGAAUGGGCGGUCUUAAUGAUGGCGGCCAGACGGCGGCAUAUCUUACAUACAGAACCAACCUGAAUAAGCUUAAGUUAAACAGUUGUCCUGCAGCCACUGGGAAACACCGACCAGUUGCCUGGUUGACAUUUCUGCAGCCAAAUGAGAAGUUUCUGCUGUCACAUAAAUAAUCGUGUCAUCUGCAUACAUUUGACAACCGACCUCCUUGCAACUUUCAGUAAUUGCAGUCAACCACCAAUAGAGGACGCCCUACACCAUGACAACACUGACAUGGAUCCUUUCUAUAUCCAGUUUGAACAGCAACAGGAAAUCCAAGAAACUCUUUUAAGACUUUUCAUACACACAAAAAAAUGGUUUUGUGUAAUUAAUUUAAUAUUAUAGAAUAUUAGUAUUCUCUUGCUGUAAAAGCAUGAUCGGUGGCAAUAUCUUUACAGCAUGUUUAAGGAAGUUAGAUGGGUGGCUCCCAAACCACUUCCUCUGAUGAGCACAAAAUGCGUCUCUGGUCUCAUGAGGCUGUUGUGGGUUCAAGCUUAAAAGGUCCCAUGGUCAUAAAACCACACCCUAAUAGAUUCAGUCCUGUGAGGUGCACUGGCCCAAAUGGAGCCAAGUUUACUUGUACUAGUGCCGUGCAAAAAAAAAAACAAAAAAAAACAUAAUUUCUUCAUUAAUGUGGAAUGCGGCAGUUCUUUUUUAAGUGCACACUGCAUGCUUUCAUGUUUUGACUGAACUUGCUUCUUUGAUUUUGAGCACUUGGAACCAGAAAGUCUGUUUGUGUGACAACAAAGAUUACCUCUUGGCAACCGCUGACAUUUGAUAGGUGUCGUAUUAAGAAACAACAGGACUGUUCACAUGCUCGCUAAUCAUUACUCAUAUGAGGUGUGAGCAGUUGCUGGCAAUUCAGCUUUUGAACAGUUUCCUUGUAAGCUAAUCUCUUGCAUGCACGCCAACACAAGGAAGAGGGUUUCAGAAAGUGACGUCUAUCUCAAGCAUGGUUCUGUUAGUACAAAUCACUGGCUAUGAGUUUAAUAGAACAGAGUUUGUGUAUCCCAUGAAACAAGUCUGUGCCUAUUGGAUGGAGCUGGUCACGUGACAGUCCAUUCAUUUCAUUAGCCUACUUGUGACCGUCACGGUGCAGUGUCUUAGUCAUAAGGACCCUCGAAUGCCUGGACCAUCUGGACUUAUUUGUGUUUUGCCAGACGGCUGUGAUGUUGUGUGUUAAAUACAAUAAUCGUUUUAAAAUAUCUUCUGAGUAUAAAUUCAUUUCACACACAAUUACCUGUCAUUUUAAGCUCACUACUAUGGUUUACCUGCUUGACCCUGUUUUAUAGUGUGAUGUUGUUGUGUGUGAGUUUGUAAUGCAUCAGUGGGGGGAGGUUUGACUAUAGCUUUGACUGGCUCAUGCUGAACAAAAGCAGAUGAGGAACUACUGUGAUGCUGCCGAGGCUGGAGAGAUCUAGUUCAGACCGGUAGCUGGGUGCUGGCUUCAACACUGAAGGGAUCUUUGGCGGUGGGAGGGUUUUUUUUUAUUGUCGUCAGUGUGAUUAAUUUAGGGAAGACAGUCUUCAGAGGUUUCACAGUUACUAUUGUAAGAGGUAAUUACGUACUGCCCUAAGAUGGAGGAAGUCAAAACUCUGACUGCUUUUUAAACUGCCUGUUGUAAAGGUUAUAGAAGUGCGAGCUGAUGAUUUAUCCUGUAGAUACUGAUUAAACUGUUUGUUAUUGGAUUUAAAACUGAAUAAAUUAAUGAUUAUAUUAAUAUAAACUUAUAAUCAUUUGGAAGAUGCUUUUAUCCAAAGGUAUCAUAUACAAUAUGAACAUUUAUAUUUAUCAUAGAUAGAUAGAUAGAUAGAUAGGUAGGUAGAUGAAAGACAGAAAAAAAUGAUCAAUUAUUACAUUAAUAUGUAUUCAUUUAGAAUAUGCUUUUAUCCAAAGUAAGUUUAUCAUAAAAUGUAUCAAAUGUAUUUUUAACCCCUUUAAAUUUAGUUAAACCAUAUGGACACAAAAAAAUUUGCAUCAUGUUAUUG